rnacentral:rRNA from 1 species
UACGUAGGGGGCAAGCGUUGUCCGGAAUCAUUGGGCGUAAAGCGCGUGUAGGCGGCUCGAUAAGUCUGCUGUGAAAGUCCAAGGCUCAACCUUGGGAUGCCGGUGGAUACUGUCGAGCUCGAGUCCGGAAGAGGAGUGUGGAAUUCCUGGUGUAGCGGUGAAAUGCGCAGAUAUCAGGAGGAACACCAAUGGCGAAGGCAGCACUCUGGGACGUGACUGACGCUGAGACGCGAAAGCGUGGGGAGCAAACGGG